CCUUUUCAUUGAGACUGAAAAGCAUCAGGCAGACUGGGCCACCAAGAUGGAGUCACAGACGCAGUUUUUCAUAUUCCUGAUCCUCUGGAUGUCUGGUGCUGAAGCGAACAUUGUGAUGACCCAGUCUCCUGAAUUCAUGUCCACAUCUGUAGGAGAGAGGAUCACCCUAAGCUGCAAGUCCAGUCAGAAUGUGGGUACUGCUAUAGCUUGGUACCAACAGAAAUCGGGGCAGCCUCCUAAAUUGCUAAUCUACUCUGCAUCAUCUCGAUACACUGGGGUUCCUGAUCGCUUCACAGGCAGUGGAUCUGGGACAGAUUUCACUUUCAGCAUCAGCAGUGUGCAGGCAGAAGACCUGGCAGUUUAUUACUGUCAGCAGUAUAGCAGCUAUCCUCCCACAGUGCUUCAGCCUCCAACACAAACCUCCUUGAGAGUCUCACCAACUGCCUGCACCACACACAGCCCUGGGCCUGCAUACUUCCUUAUUCUGCCUGAAUUCUGCCAUGCAUGA